rnacentral:rRNA from 1 species
CCUACGGGAGACAGCAGUAGGGAAUUUUCGUCAAUGGGCGCAAGCCUGAACGAGCGAUGCCGCGUGAGUGAAGAAGGCCUUCGGGUCGUAAAGCUCUGUUGCGGGGGAAAAAAGGCAGCAUCAGGAAAUGGGUGCUGACUGAUGGUGCCCCGCCAGAAAGUCACGGCUAACUACGUGCCAGCAGCCGCGGUAAUACGUAGGUGGCGAGCGUUAUCCGGAAGGAUUGGGCGUAAAGGGUGCGCAGGCGGUCCUGCAAGUCUGGAGUGAAACGCAUGAGCUCAACUCAUGCAUGGCUUUGGAAACUGGAGGACUGGAGAGCAGGAGAGGGCGGUGGAACUCCAUGUGUAGCGGUAAAAUGCGUAGAUAUAUGGAAGAACACCAGUGGCGAAGGCGGCCGCCUGGCCUGUUGCUGACGCUGAGGCACGAAAGCGUGGGGAGCAAAUAGGAUUAGAUACCCCAGUAGUC